CUUAUGCGUUGUUGGGUAGGGGAGCGUUCUGUAAGCCGUUGAAGGUGUGCUGUGAGGCAUGCUGGAGGUAUCAGAAGUGCGAAUGCUGACAUAAGUAACGAUAAAGCGGGUGAAAAGCCCGCUCGCCGGAAGACCAAGGGUUCCUGUCCAACGUUAAUCGGGGCAGGGUGAGUCGACCCCUAAGGCGAGGCCGAAAGGCGUAGUCGAUGGGAAACAGGUUAAUAUUCCUGUACUUGGUGUUACUGCGAAGGGGGGACGGAGAAGGCUAUGUUAGCCGGGCGACGGUUGUCCCGGUUUAAGCAUGUAGGCGGAGGUUCCAGGUAAAUCCGGUACCUUUUAACGCUGAGGUGUGAUGACGAGGCACUACGGUGCUGAAGUAACAAAUGCCCUGCUUCCAGGAAAAGCCUCUAAGCAUCAGGUAACAUCAAAUCGUACCCCAAACCGACACAGGUGGUCAGGUAGAGAAUACCAAGGCGCUUGAGAGAACUCGGGUGAAGGAACUAGGCAAAAUGGUGCCGUAACUUCGGGAGAAGGCACGCUGAUAUGUAGGUGAAGCCCCUGCGGGUGGAGCUGAAAUCAGUCGAAGAUACCAGCUGGCUGCAACUGUUUAUUAAAAACACAGCACUGUGCAAACACGAAAGUGGACGUAUACGGUGUGACGCCUGCCCGGUGCCGGAAGGUUAAUUGAUGGGGUUAGCGGCAACGCGAAGCUCUUGAUCGAAGCCCCGGUAAACGGCGGCCGUAACUAUAACGGUCCUAAGGUAGCGAAAUUCCUUGUCGGGUAAGUUCCGACCUGCACGAAUGGCGUAAUGAUGGCCAGGCUGUCUCCACCCGAGACUCAGUGAAAUUGAACUCGCUGUGAAGAUGCAGUGUACCCGCGGCAAGACGGAAAGACCCCGUGAACCUUUACUAUAGCUUGACACUGAACACUGGUCCUUGAUGUGUAGGAUAGGUGGGAGGCUUUGAAGUGUGGACGCCAGUCUGCAUGGAGCCGUCCUUGAAAUACCACCCUUUAAUGGCUGGUGUUCUAACGUAGACCCGUAAUCCGGGUUGCGGACAGUGUCUGGUGGGUAGUUUGACUGGGGCGGUCUCCUCCCAAAGAGUAACGGAGGAGCACGAAGGUUAGCUAAUCCUGGUCGGACAUCAGGAGGUUAGUGCAAUGGCAUAAGCUAGCUUGACUGCGAGAGUGACGGCUCGAGCAGGUGCGAAAGCAGGUCAUAGUGAUCCGGUGGUUCUGAAUGGAAGGGCCAUCGCUCAACGGAUAAAAGGUACUCCGGGGAUAACAGGCUGAUACCGCCCAAGAGUUCAUAUCGACGGCGGUGUUUGGCACCUCGAUGUCGGCUCAUCACAUCCUGGGGCUGAAGUAGGUCCCAAGGGUAUGGCUGUUCGCCAUUUAAAGUGGUACGCGAGCUGGGUUUAGAACGUCGUGAGACAGUUCGGUCCCUAUCUGCCGUGGGCGCUGGAGAAUUGAGGGGGGCUGCUCCUAGUACGAGAGGACCGGAGUGGACGCAUCACUGGUGUUCGGGUUGUCAUGCCAAUGGCACUGCCCGGUAGCUAAAUGCGGAAAAGAUAAGUGCUGAAAGCAUCUAAGCACGAAACUUGCCCCGAGAUGAGUUCUCCCUGAGACUUUAAGUCUCCUGAAGGAACGUUGAAGACGACGACGUUGAUAGGUCGGGUGUGUAAGCGCAGCGAUGCGUUGAGCUAACCGAUACUAAUGAACCGUGAGGCUUAACCUU
rnacentral:rRNA from 1 species